rnacentral:lncRNA from 1 species
CUCCUUCUAUAUCGUAAGGUUUCUUUCGAAGCCGGUUCAUCAUCGAACUCUUCGUAAGCCAGGACAAAGUCUACGAGGAAGUGUAACUUUGUCAAGGGAUCUUUGAACAAGUUGAACCGCUGCAUCUUGAGGAACAGAACGAACGUCCACGCCAUUUAUCUGAAGAUUUGAGUUAAAAGGCAGUGAGAAUCAGAAACUUGGAUGACAUACCACGACUUGCUGGAGUGCCUUUUUCUCCACCAAUAGGAG